UGGGGAAUAUUGCACAAUGGAGGGAAUUCUGAUGCAGCGACGCCGCGUGAGUGAUGAAGGAAUUCGUUUCGUAAAACUCUGUUCUAUGGGAAGAAAAGGACUGUACCAUAGGAGAAAGCUCCGGCUAAAUACGUGCCAGCAGCCGCGGUAAUACGUAUGGAGCGAGCGUUGUCCGGAAUUAUUGGGCGUAAAGGGUGCGCAGGCGGCUUUACAAGUUGGAUGUGAAAUAUUGUGGCUCAACCACAAACGUGCAUCCAAAACUGCAAAGCUUGAGUUAAGGAGAGGUAAGUGGAAUUCCUGGUGUAGCGGUGGAAUGCGUAGAUAUCAGGAGGAAUACCGGUGGCGAAGGCGACUUACUGGACUUAAACUGACGCUCAGGCACGAAAGCGUGGGGAGCAAACAGG
rnacentral:rRNA from 1 species